rnacentral:rRNA from 1 species
AUUGAACGCUGGCGGUAUGCUUAAGACAUGCAAGUCGAACGGAAACGAUGGGAGCUUGCUCCCAGGCGUCGAGUGGCGGACGGGUGAGUAACACGUGGAAAUCUACCCAGUAGCGGGGGAUAAGUCAGAGAAAUUUGAUCUAAUACCGCAUACGUCCUACGGGAGAAAGGCUUCGGCCACUAUUGGAUGAGUCCGCGUUAGAUUAGCUAGUUGGUGAGGUAACUGCUCACCAAGGCGACGAUCUAUAGCUGGUCUGAGAGGAUGAUCAGCCACAUUGGGACUGAGACACGGCCCAGACUCCUACGGGAGGCAGCAGUCGGGAAUAUUGGACAAUGGGCGAAAGCCUGAUCCAGCAAUACCGCGUGUGUGAAGAAGGCCUGCGGGUUGUAAAGCACUUUCAGUAGGGAAGAUAAUGACGUUACCUACAGAAGAAGCACCGGCUAACUCCG